UACGAAGGGGGCAAGCGUUGUUCGGAAUUACUGGGCGUAAAGCGUGCGUAGGCGGCCAUUCAAGUUGGGAGUGAAAUCCCGGGGCUCAACCCCGGAAUUGCUCUCAAAACUGUUUGGCUAGAAUCUCGGAGAGGAUAGCGGAAUUUCCAGUGUAGAGGUGAAAUUCGUAGAUAUUGGAAGGAACAUCAGUGGCGUAGGCGGCUAUCUGGACGAGUAUUGACGCUAAGGCACGAAAGUGUGGGGAGCAAACAGG
rnacentral:misc_RNA from 1 species